GACCUGUUGUCUGGAGCCGAAACUUCAUCAAAAUUGCUUGAGAAAUGGGUAACACUCCUGAUGGCCAAUGUAAUAAAGCAAGCCAAAAACCUCAGCAAGACACCCCUGCUUGACUACCUCAUCCAGUCUGCAGAGGAGACACCUGAUGAGGAUGACAAGGUCCCAGACUUCCAUUCUUCUCAGGUUGGGAUAGUGACAUGGCCUCACUGCUACUGCUGCUCCACCUCCUGCCACCACUACCAAGUGGAAAGAAGGGAGCUGUGAAGAUCAGUAUCUGGGAAGCUGUGAACCAUGUAGUCAGGUUUCAUAAAGUCGUUAUGUCGUAGCCUUCAGAAGCACUCUGGUUCAGACCAGCGGAGGCAGCCCUACAUCCUGGCAGUUGGGACAACAAGAAACAGCAUCCAUGGUGAGCUCCUUCCCUGCAAGGCCAAGUCUUCCCUGUCAGCCUUUGAUGAACUUUUCAAAGCACAUUAGGUGUUUGGCAUCCCUUAUUGCAAAAAUCCAAAGCUGUGGUGUGGCUACUAAUGUCAUAAAGACUGUUAUUGAAAAUAACAACUUGUAGACGAAUUGCAUUCAAAUGUCAAAGAAGGAGUAAAAUUACUCCCUAACAAUGAGGACAAGAGAACAAAAUUUGAUGAUUAUUUUGACAGCCUUGAAAAUCCAUUUAGCAAACUGAACACUGAGACAAAAUGAAAAAAAAAAACAUUUCAGUGAGAAAUGUGGUAUUGUAAAACCUGUUGAGGUCACUGUGGGAGUGAGGUAUGACAUUAGAAGGAAUUAAAAUGCUUGCAUAUAUCAAGUUCCUGUAACAGACAAAUUUGUGUACAUUUCUCUCUUUGAAACUUUGAAGUUCAUAUUCACCAACCAAGAGAUCUGUGAUCAUAUUGCGCAACCUUGAGAGGAAACUGGGGUUUACAAAGAUUUCUGUGAUGGAAAAUAUUUUAGAGAUCACUCCCUCUUCUUUGAAAAACAAAACUCUCCAAAUACUGAUAUUCUACGAUGAUUUUGAAAUGGCAAAUCCACUAGGAUCCAAUCAUGGUAUCCAUAAAGUUGGAAGUAUAUACUUUGUUUUAUCUUUGUUUUCAUCUCUAAAGAUAAAAUCAGCUCUUAUGAGUAUUCAUCUUUUGGCACUUUUUCAUACUGAGGAAGUAUGGAUUUAAUGCUAUCUUAGAGCCGCUCAUACAUGGUCUGAAAGUCCUUGAGUGUACAGGAAUUGAAGUUCCUUUCUCUGAUGAACCAGUUCAUGGAACAAUUGCGCAAUUAACUGGGGACAAUUUGGGAUUGCACACACUACUAAGAUAUCUUCAAUCAUUCAGCGCAAACUAUUUUUUUUGUCUAGUAGACAAACAGACCUUUCGGAUGAUUUUCAGUGAUGAUGAUCCAAGAAUAACAUUACGUAAUAAAACACUGCAGCUCAGCAAUGCAACGACCUCAUGGCAGAUCGUACACUGCCGUCAACAGUUGAAUCAACAAUGGGAGCUGAAGUUGCUUUCCUCUCAGACAACAUCAUAUCCAAGAUAGAUGUUAACUGAAUUAUAGAUGUAACUGAAUAUACACAUACAAUUAUGGCUUUGUUGAGCGAAAUAAUUGGCCAACCAGAAUCAACUUGUAGUAGACUGGAAAUGGAAUUGGUCUCAAUGCCAUUCAGACAUUUUGCUCAAUCUGUAAUAUGCCCUUGAUAUUUGGAGAUGUUGUACAAGAAGGAAAUGCACAAUGGAGCUGCUUCUGUUGCAAAUUAUGAACAUCAUUUUCUCCAGUCAUUACUGAUGGCAUAAUAGUAUGUCUGAAGCAUCUCACUAUUGAACAUCAUAAACUUUUCAAAGAGCUUUACCCACAUUGCAAAAUGAUUCCUAAAUAUCAAUUCAGUUUUCACUUCACUUAAUGAAAAUGUUUUCUUGCUGAAAGUUGUGAGUUGCGUUUCUUUAAGCCAUAUGAUUUGCUGACAACUUGUGGUUUUGACAGAAAUCAAAGUAUGUGGUUCCUGUGCAUGUGUUUGUAUGAGAAACUUGUUACUUAACUGUUUGCCAUGUACUCUUUUGGUUUUUGGUUUUGAUCCUGUGUGGUGAUCGUUAUUUUUUCAAAACAGGAUUUUUGACAGUUUACUUUGCACAUUAACUUUAUUACUUUGGUGAUGGUACUUUUGUAUGUUAAUCCGCUUUAUUGUCCUUUUGUUGUAAUACGAUUUUGGAUUGUUGACUUCUAAAGUACUUCUACUUUCAUGUCAAAGAUAAAAGCAGUAAGCAGGGAUUCUGGCCAGAGACCUGUUAUAUGUGCAUUGCUCACCUA